UACGUAGGGGGCGAGCGUUGUCCGGAUUUAUUGGGCGUAAAGAGCGUGUAGGCGGCCAGGUAGGUCUGCUGUGAAAACUCGAGGCUCAACCUCGAGACGUCGGCGGAAACCAUCUGGCUAGAGUCCGGAAGAGGAGAGUGGAAUUCCUGGUGUAGCGGUGAAAUGCGCAGAUAUCAGGAAGAACACCCGUGGCGAAGGCGGCUCUCUGGGACGGUACUGACGCUGAGACGCGAAAGCGUGGGGAGCGAACAUG
rnacentral:rRNA from 1 species